rnacentral:rRNA from 1 species
CGCCCAGACUCCUACGGGAGGCAGCAGUGGGGAAUAUUGCACAAUGGGGGGAACCCUGAUGCAGCGACGCCGCGUGGGUGAAGGAGUCCCUCGGUACGUAAAGCCCUAUCAGCAGGAAAGAAAAUGACGGUACCUGACUAAGAAGCCCCGGCUAACUACGUGCCAGCAGCCGCGGUAAUACGUAGGGGGCAAGCGUUAUCCGGAUUUACUGGGUGUAAAGGGAGCGUAGACGGCAGUGCAAGUCCGGAGUGAAAGCCCGGGGCUCAACCCGGGGACUGCUCUGGAAACUGUAAAGCUGGAGUGCGGGAGGGGAAGGCGGAAUUCCUGGUGUAGCGGUGAAAUGCGUAGAUAUCAGGAGGAACACCGGCGGCGAAGGCGGCCUGCUGGACCGUAACUGACGUUGAGGCUCGAAAGCGUGGGGAGCAAACAGGAUUAGAUCCCCUCGUAAA